rnacentral:misc_RNA from 1 species
GAUGAAGAAGUAGCGAAAUGCGAUAAGUAAUGUGAAUUGCAGAAUUCAGUGAAUCAUCGAAUCUUUGAACGCAUCUUGCGCUCCUUGGUAUUCCUUGGAGCAUGCCUGUUUGAGUAUCAUGAGCAAAUCUCAAAGUCAAUUCCUUUUGUUAAUUCAAUUGGUUUUGCUUUGGACUUGGAGGUCUUGCAGAUUUCACAGUCUGCUCCUCUUAAAUGCAUUAGCUGGAUCUCAGUAAUUAUGCUUGGUUCCACUCGGCGUGAUAAGUAUCACUCGCUGAGGACACUGUUAAAAAGGUGGCCAGGAAAAUACUGAUUGAACCGCUUCUAACGGUCUAUUAAGUUAGACAAUUACCCUUAAGUUUGAUCUCAAAUCAGGUAGGACUACCCGCUGAACUUAAGCAUAUCAAUAAGCGGAGGA